CCGACUCACAGCGAUCUCGCGAGAGAAAGCGAUCCCUUUGCGCUCUCAUUCUCCCAACUCCACAGACCAGUGAGAGAAGUUUAAAUCUGAUUGGAUGUUGCUGAGGAAGCUGACUGGCUGAGCUUGACCUGGAAAAGAACUGGCAGAUGAAUAUUUCCUGCAUGGUCGAAUGCCCUGUGAACUGUCAGCUGUCAGACUGGUCUCCUUGGUCAGAGUGUUCUCAAACAUGUGGCCUCACAGG